UACGUAGGGAGCAAGCGUUGUCCGGAAUCAUUGGGCGUAAAGCGCGCGUAGGCGGCCUCAUAAGUCCGCUGUGAAAGUCAAAGGCUCAACCUUUGAAAGCCGAUGGAUACUGUGAGGCUAGAGUCCGGAAGAGGCGAGUGGAAUUCCUGGUGUAGCGGUGAAAUGCGCAGAUAUCAGGAGGAACACCAAUUGCGAAGGCAGCUCGCUGGGACGUUACUGACGCUGAGACGCGAAAGCGUGGGGAGCGAACAGG
rnacentral:rRNA from 1 species